rnacentral:hammerhead_ribozyme from 1 species
AUCCAGUUAAUGAGUCCUAAAUAGGACGAAACACGCGUUCUGGAU